CAUAUAUACAUAUAUUAUAUCUAUGUAUUUUUGUUAUAUAGAAAAUUAAUUGUUGUGAUUAAAGAGUUGAGUGACAAAAAAAAAGAAGUAGAAGAAAUGGAUAAAAGCCUUAAAAAAUAUAAUAGUGAUAUACAAGAAAUGAAAUCCAUAAUUAAUAAAAGUGACAACGAUUUAAAGGAACAAGCCCUAAUAAUUGAUAAUUUUACUGGGUUAAACAAAAGCUUAAAAGAUGAGUUAAAUAGUGCCACUAAAAAUUUAGAAAUAUCUAAAAGAUAUAUUAUGAAUUAUGAAAAAAAUGAAGAAGAGAUGAAAAAUAGAAUAAUGAAGUUAGAAAAAGAACUAUAUGAAAAAAACGAAGAAUGCGAAAUAAAAACCCAAAAAUUAAUGCUUAAAGAAAAGGUUACAAUUUUCAUCGAUUUACAUUUUAUAUACUCAUAUUUAAAUUUACAUAAAAUGUAUAUAUAAUAAACCACAAACGUGUAUGUUUAAUGACUGUUUUUAAAAUAUAAUUUUUUUUAUUUUUUUUUAUUUUAGGAAUUAUCCGAUAAAGAGAUACAACUAAAAAAAAUAGCAUCAGUUAUCAUUAGUUAACAAUAUAUAUAACAUAUUUUUCUCUUAAAUAUUUAAAUUGUAUUUUUGUAUGUAACUUAAAUGCGAUUUUUUUUUUUUUUNNNNNNNNNNAAAAAAAAAAAAAAAUAUAAACACAACAAAUUUUAAAUAAAAAAAAUAGUAAAAUAUAUAAAACA
rnacentral:lncRNA from 1 species